ACACUCCGGCGCCGCUCAGAUCCGAGCUUCGACCUUCCACGCCGACCGCGCCCCAGUCCUCUGCCACCGGCUGCCUCCAGUCACGCCGAUCUAGCGCCGCCCAGCCCUGUUUGUCGCCGAAAUCUGCCUGCAUCACUGGACUUUUGUUUUGAUUAAGGGAUUGAUUAAUUUUGGGCAAGACUUUGAUUUGUCUUUGACGGUUUGAUUACCCAUUUGGUAUUGGGUUAAAUUUGUUAUCUCUUUAUUUUUGGAAUUUAGAUCCAAGAUUGGAGUGCUUCAGAGUGCACAGCGGGCUGAUCAACGGAUUCGAGUUCAAGUAUUUUGGUAAAGGUAGAGAUGUACCGGCGAUGGACAAGCGAAAUUCGUGAUCCCACUGGGACCAAUUUUAUAUUUCCGCUCAUGAGACUUACCUUUCAUGUUGUUGUUUCAGGUAAAGGUAGAGAUGUACCGGCGAUGGACAACGGAAUUCGUGAUCCCACUGGGACCAAUUUUAUACUUCCGCUCAUGAGACUUAGAUUUCCUUUCAUGUUUUGCUUAACUUUUAGUUUUGAUAUUUCAAACCUACAAUUAAGAAUUGUUUUCAGACUCAUUUAUUAACAAUUAUGAUUUAUGGAUACCCUAUUGUUGUUUUUAA